rnacentral:rRNA from 1 species
GGAAUCUUCGGCAAUGGACGAAAGUCUGACCGAGCAACGCCGCGUGAGUGAAGAAGGUUUUCGGAUCGUAAACUCUGUUGGUAGAGAAGAACGUUGGUGAGAGUGGAAAGCUCAUCAAGUGACGGUAACUACCCAGAAAGGGACGGCUAACUACGUGCCAG